rnacentral:tRNA from 1 species
UGGGGAUGUGGCUCAGUGGUAGAGUGCUCGCCUAGCACAUGCGAGGAGGCCCUGGGUUCAAUCCUCAGAACCACAA